rnacentral:rRNA from 1 species
GACGAACCGUGCGAACGUUGUUCGGAAUCACUGGGCUUAAAGGGCGCGUAGGCGGGUUCGCAAGUCUGUGGUGAAAGCCUCCAGCUUAACUGGAGAAGUGCCGUGGAUACUGCGAAUCUUGAGGAGGGUAGGGGCGUCUGGAACGGUCGGUGGAGCGGUGAAAUGCGUUGAUAUCGACCGGAACUCCGGUGGCGAAGGCGUCCAUCUGGCCCGAUACUGACGCUGAGGCGCGAAAGCGUGGGGAGCGAACAGG